rnacentral:rRNA from 1 species
GGUUAAGCGACUAAGCGUACACGGUGGAUGCCCUGGCAGUCAGAGGCGAUGAAGGACGUGCUAAUCUGCGAUAAGCGUCGGUAAGGUGAUAUGAACCGUUAUAACCGGCGAUUUCCGAAUGGGGAAACCCAGUGUGAUUCGUCACACUAUCAUUAACUGAAUCCAUAGGUUAAUGAGGCGAACCGGGGGAACUGAAACAUCUAAGUACCCCGAGGAAAAGAAAUCAACCGAGAUUCCCCCAGUAGCGGCGAGCGAACGGGGAGCAGCCCAGAGCCUGAAUCAGUGUGUGUGUUAGUGGAAGCGUCUGGAAAGGCGUGCGAUACAGGGUGACAGCCCCGUACACAAAAAUGCACAUAUUGUGAGCUCGAUGAGUAGGGCGGGACACGUGGUAUCCUGUCUGAAUAUGGGGGGACCAUCCUCCAAGGCUAAAUACUCCUGACUGACCGAUAGUGAACCAGUACCGUGAGGGAAAGGCGAAAAGAACCCCGGCGAGGGGAGUGAAAAAGAACCUGAAACCGUGUACGUACAAGCAGUGGGAGCACGCUUAGGCGUGUGACUGCGUACCUUUUGUAUAAUGGGUCAGCGACUUAUAUUCUGUAGCAAGGUUAACCGAAUAGGGGAGCCGAAGGGAAACCGAGUCUUAACUGGGCGUUAAGUUGCAGGGUAUAGACCCGAAACCCGGUGAUCUAGCCAUGGGCAGGUUGAAGGUUGGGUAACACUAACUGGAGGACCGAACCGACUAAUGUUGAAAAAUUAGCGGAUGACUUGUGGCUGGGGGUGAAAGGCCAAUCAAACCGGGAGAUAGCUGGUUCUCCCCGAAAGCUAUUUAGGUAGCGCCUCGUGAAUUCAUCUCCGGGGGUAGAGCACUGUUUCGGCAAGGGGGUCAUCCCGACUUACCAACCCGAUGCAAACUGCGAAUACCGGAGAAUGUUAUCACGGGAGACACACGGCGGGUGCUAACGUCCGUCGUGAAGAGGGAAACAACCCAGACCGCCAGCUAAGGUCCCAAAGUCAUGGUUAAGUGGGAAACGAUGUGGGAAGGCCCAGACAGCCAGGAUGUUGGCUUAGAAGCAGCCAUCAUUUAAAGAAAGCGUAAUAGCUCACUGGUCGAGUCGGCCUGCGCGGAAGAUGUAACGGGGCUAAACCAUGCACCGAAGCUGCGGCAGCGACACUAUGUGUUGUUGGGUAGGGGAGCGUUCUGUAAGCCUGUGAAGGUGUACUGUGAGGUAUGCUGGAGGUAUCAGAAGUGCGAAUGCUGACAUAAGUAACGAUAAAGCGGGUGAAAAGCCCGCUCGCCGGAAGACCAAGGGUUCCUGUCCAACGUUAAUCGGGGCAGGGUGAGUCGACUCCUAAGGCGAGGCCGAAAGGCGUAGUCGAUGGGAAACAGGUUAAUAUUCCUGUACUUGGUGUUACUGCGAAGGGGGGACGGAGAAGGCUAUGUUGGCCGGGCGACGGUUGUCCCGGUUUAAGCGUGUAGGCUGGUUUUCCAGGCAAAUCCGGAAAACUAAGGCUGAGGCGUGAUGACGAGGCACUACGGUGCUGAAGCAACAAAUGCCCUGCUUCCAGGAAAAGCCUCUAAGCAUCAGGUAACAUCAAAUCGUACCCCAAACCGACACAGGUGGUCAGGUAGAGAAUACCAAGGCGCUUGAGAGAACUCGGGUGAAGGAACUAGGCAAAAUGGUGCCGUAACUUCGGGAGAAGGCACGCUGAUAUGUAGGUGAAGUCCCUCGCGGAUGGAGCUGAAAUCAGUCGAAGAUACCAGCUGGCUGCAACUGUUUAUUAAAAACACAGCACUGUGCAAACACGAAAGUGGACGUAUACGGUGUGACGCCUGCCCGGUGCCGGAAGGUUAAUUGAUGGGGUCAGCGCAAGCGAAGCUCUUGAUCGAAGCCCCGGUAAACGGCGGCCGUAACUAUAACGGUCCUAAGGUAGCGAAAUUCCUUGUCGGGUAAGUUCCGACCUGCACGAAUGGCGUAAUGAUGGCCAGGCUGUCUCCACCCGAGACUCAGUGAAAUUGAACUCGCUGUGAAGAUGCAGUGUACCCGCGGCAAGACGGAAAGACCCCGUGAACCUUUACUAUAGCUUGACACUGAACAUUGAGCCUUGAUGUGUAGGAUAGGUGGGAGGCUUUGAAGUGUGGACGCCAGUCUGCAUGGAGCCGACCUUGAAAUACCACCCUUUAAUGUUUGAUGUUCUAACGUUGACCCGUAAUCCGGGUUGCGGACAGUGUCUGGUGGGUAGUUUGACUGGGGCGGUCUCCUCCUAAAGAGUAACGGAGGAGCACGAAGGUUGGCUAAUCCUGGUCGGACAUCAGGAGGUUAGUGCAAUGGCAUAAGCCAGCUUGACUGCGAGCGUGACGGCGCGAGCAGGUGCGAAAGCAGGUCAUAGUGAUCCGGUGGUUCUGAAUGGAAGGGCCAUCGCUCAACGGAUAAAAGGUACUCCGGGGAUAACAGGCUGAUACCGCCCAAGAGUUCAUAUCGACGGCGGUGUUUGGCACCUCGAUGUCGGCUCAUCACAUCCUGGGGCUGAAGUAGGUCCCAAGGGUAUGGCUGUUCGCCAUUUAAAGUGGUACGCGAGCUGGGUUUAGAACGUCGUGAGACAGUUCGGUCCCUAUCUGCCGUGGGCGCUGGAGAACUGAGGGGGGCUGCUCCUAGUACGAGAGGACCGGAGUGGACGCAUCACUGGUGUUCGGGUUGUCAUGCCAAUGGCACUGCCCGGUAGCUAAAUGCGGAAGAGAUAAGUGCUGAAAGCAUCUAAGCACGAAACUUGCCCCGAGAUGAGUUCUCCCUGACUCCUUGAGAGUCCUGAAGGAACGUUGAAGACGACGACGUUGAUAGGUCGGGUGUGUAAGCGCAGCGAUGCGUUGAGCUAACCGGUACUAAUGAACCGUGAGGCUUAACCUUACAACGCCGAAGGUGUUUUG